rnacentral:rRNA from 1 species
UGGGGAAUUUUCCGCAAUGGGCGAAAGCCUGACGGAGCAAUACCGCGUGAGGGAGGAAUGCCUUUGGGUUGUAAACCUCUUUUCUCAGGGAAGAAUAACUGACGGUACCUGAGGAAUAAGCAUCGGCUAACUCCGUGCCAGCAGCCGCGGUAAUACGGAGGAUGCAAGCGUUAUCCGGAAUCAUUGGGCGUAAAGCGUCCGCAGGUGGUUAAGCAAGUCUGCUGUCAAAGGCCGGGGCUCAACUCCGGACAGGCAGUGGAAACUGCAUGACUAGAGUACGGCAGGGGUAGAGGGAAUUCCCGGUGUAGCGGUGAAAUGCGUAGAUAUCGGGAAGAACACCGGUGGCGAAGGCGCUCUACUGGGCCGUAACUGACACUCAGGGACGAAAGCUAGGGGAGCGAAUGGGAUUAGAUACCCCCGUAGUCC